UGGGGUAUCGCCAAGUGGUUAAGGCACGGGACUUUGACUCCCGCACCGCUGGUUCGAAUCCAGCUACCCCAGCCA
rnacentral:tRNA from 1 species